UACGUAGGGUGCAGGCGUUAAUCGGAAUUACUGGGCGUAAAGCGUGCGCAGGCGGUUUGCUAAGACAGGUGUGAAAUCCCCGGGCUUAACCUGGGAACUGCGCUUGUAACUGGCAAGCUAGAGUGUGGCAGAGGGGGGUGGAAUUCCACGUGUAGCAGUGAAAUGCGUAGAGAUGCGGCGGAACACCGAUGGCGAAGGCAGCCCCCUGGGCUGAGAUUGACGCUCAGGCACGAAAGCGUGGGGAGCAAACAGG
rnacentral:rRNA from 1 species